UUCUCCUGGGAUGUGUUUUUUUUGUUUAUGGGUGAUUUUUCUUGGAAAUCUCAGGAUAGUGUUUUGAUGUAUUCUGAAACUUUGUUGUGCCAGAAACAUGCAUUGUUUUAUCAUUAACCAGAAUUGAGUUAGGGAUUAUCAUUAAGGCAUUAACCAAAAUGGAGUUAGGAUGUCUUUUUUUGUAGUGUAGAAAACGUUGUGUAUACUGAAAUGUGCAUGCUUGCAACAUGUCUGAUAUGGAUUAUAUUUGAGUGAUAUCUUUGUUGAAGAACAUGUGAAAUUAGAGUUCUGGUGGUCUUCUAGAACACACACUGCUCCUCAUCUUUACUUUCUCUACAUAAUUCUUCAAUAUGUUGGUAUGUUCCCGUGACUCCUUGGUUUAGCUAUCCUUAUACAUGCAUGUUGUUACAUAAAUCAAUUAGUUUUUCCCUUAAGGACAGGCCUGGUGCAGUGGUGAGAGGCCUUUCCACUGAGCCAAAGGGCCUGGGUUUGACGCAGCCUCUGCGCAAAAAUGUAGGGUUAAGGAUUGCCUCGGUUAUUACUUCCCCAGACCCGACUCAUGCGGGAGCCGUCAGCACUGGGUCUGUUCUUUUACUGAUUUGUUGAGGGUCUAGACAAAUAUGAGCUCAUAAUGUAUUAUCUUUCAGGAGAUAUACGUGGAGCGUCAGAAUUAUAUGUGCAUCUACAAGAACAGUUACAACAAUUCUCCAUCAGGUUGUGCAGCUUUCCUUGCAAACUACAAUUCUAGCAUCCUUUCUUAUUGAAAUAAUGUUAUUUUUAACAGUGCCACAAUAAGUUUCACUUAUGCUUAUUUUUAGUAUUCACUUAUGCUUAUUUUCAGUAUGACACAUUCUCCUCUUAUUGCAUUUGUCCCCUUUUGAUGACCUCGUUUACCUGAUUAUAAUUGUUUGUCCCUCUCCUUGCAGGUUGGUGUUCAUACAUAUCAGAUGUAAAUAUGGGGAGACGGUGCCUCAUCAAUGACGAGUAGGUUGAUUCUCAUCUAGCGGCACCAUUGCUCAUCACAACUGAUUUGCUUGAGCAACUUAAUGUCACUCUCAAGAGGACCCUCCUUUCGACCGACACCCUGAAGCACCACACAAGCUUUAGAAAGUCGGAAUUGUACUCCGUAUACAUAAAUUACCAUGAUAUUAUAUGUUCAUGUAAUUCUAUGUUGAUUCUUUAGAAAUAAUAUAUAUGAUAUUGUAAUGUGUGUUCGAUAUCAAUUUAUUUUAUUUGAGUUAUGUAUUUAUAAUAUUAGUGUUACGGUAAUAUUUU
rnacentral:lncRNA from 1 species